GGUUAAGCGACUAAGCGUACACGGUGGAUGCCCUGGCAGUCAGAGGCGAUGAAGGACGUGCUAAUCUGCGAAAAGCGACGGCGAGGUGAUAUGAACCUUUGACCCGUCGAUGUCCGAAUGGGGAAACCCAGUGUGUUCCGACACACUAUCGUUAACUGAAUACAUAGGUUAACGAGGCGAACCGGGGGAACUGAAACAUCUAAGU
rnacentral:rRNA from 1 species